rnacentral:rRNA from 1 species
AGAGCGAACGCUGGCGGCAGGCUUAACACAUGCAAGUCGAGCGCCCGUAGCAAUACGGGAGCGGCAGACGGGAUAGUAACACGUGGGAACGCGCCCUUCGGUUCGGAAUAACUCAGGGAAACUUGAGCUAAUACCGGAUACGCCCUUACGGGGAAAGAUUUAUUGCCGAAGGAACGGCCCGCGUCCGAUUAGCUAGUUGGUGAGGUAAUGGCUCACCAAGGCGACGAUCGGUAGCUGGUCUGAGAGGAUGACCAGCAUCACUGGGACUGAGACACGGCCCAGACUCCUACGGGAGGCAGCAGUGGGGAAUAUUGGACAAUGGGCGCAAGCCUGAUCCAGCCAUGCCGCGUGGAUGAUGAAGGCCUUAGGGUUGUAAAGUCCUUUUAACGGGGAAGAUAAUGACGGUACCCGUAGAAUAAGCCCCGGCUAACGUUCGUGCCAGCAGCCGC